CAUGCAAGUCGAACGGCAGCACGGACUUCGGUCUGGUGGCGAGUGGCGAACGGGCUGAUAAUACAUCGGAACGUGCCCAGUCGUGGGGGAUAACGUAGCGAAAGCUACGCUAAUACCGCAUACGAUCUACGGAUGAAAGCGGGGGAUCGCAAGACCUCGCGCGAUUGGAGCGGCCGAUGGCAGAUUAGGUAGUUGGUGGGGUAAAGGCUCACCAAGCCGACGAUCUGUAGCUGGUCUGAGAGGACGACCAGCCACACUGGGACUGAGACACGGCCCAGACUCCUACGGGAGGCAGCAGUGGGGAAUUUUGGACAAUGGGCGCAAGCCUGAUCCAGCCAUUCCGCGUGCAGGAUGAAGGCCCUCGGGUUGUAAACUGCUUUUGUACAGAACGAAAAGGCUCUGGUUAAUACCUGGGGCUCAUGACGGUACUGUAAGAAUAAGCACCGGCUAACUACGUGCCAGCAGCCGCGGUAAUACGUAGGGUGCAAGCGUUAAUCGGAAUUACUGGGCGUAAAGCGUGCGCAGGCGGUGAUGUAAGACAGAGGUGAAAUCCCCGGGCUCAACCUGGGAACUGCCUUUGUGACUGCAUCGCUGGAGUACGGCAGAGGGGGAUGGAAUUCCGCGUGUAGCAGUGAAAUGCGUAGAUAUGCGGAGGAACACCGAUGGCGAAGGCAACCCCCUGGGCCUGUACUGACGCUCAUGCACGAAAGCGUGGGGAGCAAACAGGAUUAGAUACCCUGGUAGUCCACGCCCUAAACGAUGUCAACUGGUUGUUGGGUCUUCACUGACUCGGUAACGAAGCUAACGCGUGAAGUUGACCGCCUGGGGAGUACGGCCGCAAGGUUGA
rnacentral:rRNA from 1 species